UUAGAAGCCGUAGCAACAUGUUUUCCUUUUGUACAUACAACACGAAUAACUCUAGCAAAUUGAUACAAUUUCGUCUAAGAACACUAAAGAUCGACUACGAAUAACCAAGUUCGAACGAUUUGUCAACAAAACUUCUUUCUUCGCGUAAAACACGAAUAAUCCUGGGAAAAUUGAUCCAGUCUCUGAAAAUAACAAGGCUUAUCCCUGUGAUUUCGAUUGCUUUGGAUCGACACGAUGGGUAGCGUCCGCGGAGAGGUCAGCGAUGGUAAACGGUGUCGAUUAUAGGCGAGCCUGUUGUGGUGGUGGCAGUGUAGCAUGACUGGUAGCCGAUAUAUCUGUAUACGUGUCCGUCCCAGCCGCCCGUGACCACGUGGCCUUGUCCUUGUACGACGUCGACGUCGAGCGUUCCGUGCCACCGACACCCGUCGUCGGUCGCCGUGGAACCUUCCUACGACGAGCCGCGGCGGAGAGAAGAGAGAUGUCCCAGCUCAGCUCGCGUGUGCGCCCGAGCUUCUCGCUCUCUACAUAUAAAUGCACACGGCCAAUACAUGUAGAGACAGGAAUGUGUGCUCGUGAACGCGUUUACGUGGAGCAAAGGCGCCGUUUAACGCGGAAUUACGAGGUAAUUCGUCUCUUGCCAACCGGCAACUGCGUCACCCGUAACUGUAAAUCUUCUACCUAUCGAUUCGAUGCAACCUUGGACAGCGGCUAAUUGAGAGGUUUAGAGGAAACGUGGUGCGAGUGAUCGAAUCUUUAACUCGAGCAUGACGUGAGUAAAGUUUCUGUUGGCACUCCGGUAUCAAGGACAGCCUUCAUUCUUGACUCGAGGCGGAAACGCGCGAUCUUUCGCCGUUUCGAUCGUUCCAACGUCCUAACCAAACAACAUCGGAGCAGGACGGAGAAGAGAAGCGAAGUAGGAAGGGAGUUGUUUUGGCAACAACGGAAACUUCCUACGUAGAAGACGGUAACUGACGAGAAACAGAAUGUAUCGUUGCGUUUCACGAGACACAGAAGGAGAAAGAGGGACAGAGGUUGAUACGGGGACUACGUGGAAAGCAUCCUUAAUUAAACGCAGCGGCGUUUAUCGAGUUUCCCUAUCUCUUGUCUCGUGACCGCGUAAAUCGGCUGGUCUCAAGUACCGAUCCUUUCAUGGCUACCACCAAGGUCACGACCUCCACUACGUGCAGAGAGCGAUGCACGCACUAUUAGGCACACGCCACGCGCGUGCAUGUUGCGUACGUGCAGCCUAAUCUGUGGGAUGCAUCGACUCGCCAGGGCUGGCUCGUGGUCACCACGUGCCACCUCUGACUCUAACGGAAUUACGAAGAUUCCGAGCGACUCGCGUAUCCUACACAAAAGAGAACAAUGUGGAACCUAUCCGAACAACUUCAUACAGCCUCCUAUCAAUACAAAAUCAUCUCUGAAAAACAGCUAUACGCUCCAAGCGCAAGAACCUGCAAAGAAGAACCAGCAGAAGAUUUCGGAAACUUGUUCCAAAACGAAUCUCACGGAACUCUUUCAACCGGAGGAGCAAGCAUCGGUCUAUUGUCUGUGCUGUCGCAGACGGCGGCGCAAAAAUUCCGCCCCUGGAGCGUCGCUUGGAGAGGGCUUCGAGGGUGAGGCGGCCGAUUCCCGGCGAGUUUCAGCCUCGAGUAAGCCUGGAACGAAGACUGUAGAAAAAAAGGGCCUGGUACAGAAGUAGGGAGAGGGGCGGAAGGGCCGGGGAAGCGAAGGGGGAGACAAAGAGGCCGAGAAAGAGGGAGUCGCGUUUCUGAACGCGCGCGAGUACGUUCGCUCCGCUGCUGACGGGGUGAACGUACGACGGUAGACGCAAAAAUCCCUCCAAGGUCGGUGCAUCCCUAUCGGUACCCCGUACGUUCGUCUGUUCGUGCCACGGUUCACCGUCUCCCGUCCCCGCCCUGUUUCUACCACCACUCCUGGCCAAACAACCGACAGUUAUCCCCACCAACUGCCCCAAAUCACCCACGCGACCGGGCUGACUCGAUUCAGGGACGCGCGAGCUAUACCUGCGUCUCCUGCAGGAUCAACCGAGUGGGAAAACAAUCGGACCGCAAAAGCGCGGCACUCUUUGCCAACUCCUAUGUCGUUGUAAGAGUUAAGCUGCGUUCUCGCUCAAGCAACAACCAGCAACUUUCUGUCGGUGUUUGUGGUCGAUGUACGCAUAUUCUUCCGUGUACGUCGUCUUCGCGUUUUUAUCGCCAGUAACAGAAAUUGCUACUUGUAGCAUGCUUUAGCUCGGAGCGGUGAAAUAAAGAGAAGUAAGAGGUGCGUAAGAACACAUCGCGACGGAACAAAUGUUUGUUCGGCGUGUAGUCGUCGCUAGGAACAGACGUUUUAAAAUAGAGACAAAGCAAAAAAAUAUUCCUCCGAUUACGUUGCUUCAGCGUGGACGAAACGUUGGUACAAGUCGGUGUUCGUUGAAAAUGCCUUGGAAUACGCUUCAACAAUAGACGAUAAAAGUUGUUACUUCGAUAGAUGCAGAGUUUUAGGUAUUCGUUGAAACAUGCAGCAACGACAGACAACAAAAGAAUAGUUCUUAACGUAGAUUCGUAUUUAACUCAAAAAACAAAUGAAAGGAGUUUUGGUGUAAGUUUGAUUGACAAAGUGACUAAAAUUUAAAAAUUGCUGUCCUAAAAAGUAUGGUCGUCUUGAAAUAGAAAAGUACAACGUGAACUACGUAAACCCGAUAUCGAGGCCUUCUCGAGUAACCUCGAAAAACAAGAAAACUAGCCCUUUUUGUAUCGAAGGGGUACCAUAUAUUUCCUGGCCUUUUUUCCGCUCAGAUGGCUCGUGAAACGGCAGGUUUAACUCGCACGUCCCUACUUUCGUUGAUCAGGGUCGCGUGGGUGAUUUUACCUGAUCUGGUGGGGCUGCGUCCUUUAUUCGGAUGCAUCGACCGUUCAUUUCGAUAUUAUGCUAAUAACGUUUUAAACAACGAGCCGGCAGAACUCUUGGUGGUUCGGAUAAGAUUCUUGGACGCAUCGGGUUCAAGAAAGCCAUUUACGUGAAAAUAGAAUAUAAAUAUAUCGUUCAAUUACUGGUUUGCACGCAAGUGGCUGGCAAAUGUACAGGGUGCGUUUGUAGAACGCAUAUAAUUUCGAUCGUUUCAAUAACGAACUGAUAUUUUUAUUAUGUCGUAGUCCAAUCUUCUCGUUCUUUUUCCGAGGCGACUUUUCUUACUUGUCUUUUGUACCAAAUGGUGCAAACUAUAAUAUAGUUUCGAAUUAUUUCAAUAACGAGGUCAUAUUUUUAUUAUUUUUCUUUUUUCAUUUUUCUUCUUUAACGUUCUUCCACUUUUUGGAACUUUUUUGAAUUUGUUUAACAAAUCGUAAAAGGCAGUGUGAAAAAAGUUAUGGGGGUUAAAGAAAAACAAGAUAAAUAAUGAAAGUUUAUGACAAACGGCUCACAAUGUAUCAAAAUGAUAGUCGGAAUAGAUAGAGUGCUGAUUUGCGGCAGCUGGAAUCCGCUGUGCCCCCAUAUUUACCCCCACCUCCAACAUGACUAUGCUACAAACGAUCGUAAUAACAGUAUUCGAAUCUUAAAAUAGCUAAAUAAAAGGUGUCCGCCAAGAAUCCUUGUAACCCUCUUUUGUAACACUCUGUAUAAUCUAUAGACCAUCGUCAAAACCAAAAUACCCAAAUUUCAUUUCAUUUUGCUCGCCGCUCGCAACCAUUAACAAAUCUAUCAAUACCGUUAUUAGCUACCAUUAACCACUACUAAACCAUUAUUACGCCAAUGACGGCUACAAAUUAUACUGUGCGAUCAUGAAGACCUGCUGCCAUUACACAUUCAAGCAAUGCAAUUACGAAGGAUAAAGAAAUAUAACGCGUGACAAAAUAGUAAUUGGUUGUGUACCGAACGUAGCGUUUGCAAAGGUAGAUGAUUUUACCUCUUUAAAAGUCAAAAGACUUCACACUUGUAUUCUACGUUUGUCUAUAGAAAACGAAAAGUUCUCCAGUAGAAGAAUUUCGAUUUGUUUAAAAAGUUCCACAGAACGAAAAAAGAAGGAGAAGAAAAUAUUCCGAAUGUUAAAAAUUUAAGACGUGUUUUAGUAUAGCUCGUGUACCUGAGGUUAGAGAGUUAAGCGUCAACCUGUGUUCGUAAAUCUCGCGCGAAGGCGUGAUGUGACAGCGGGACACGAAAUUACUUGGCUCGAGAAUUCGAAAUCACCGGGAGAAAUUGUCAGCCGCCUUGUGCGCGUAUCUCGGCCUCCGGGGGCUGUUGGGAAACCGGCCGUUGGAAGAAGAAAACGCGUGUCGGAUUUAUUCCGGCGCAGUAAUUUGCGGUUUCACGAACAGCACGUGGACGCGAGCUGUCGGCGGUAAAUUAAAAUUUCACGUGCCUCUUCGAAUCUGACGGCACCCCGAGACGGAAUUUUUCGAAUGGAAAACGACCUAUAACUCUUCCAGCGAUUGCAAUUAACUCGUAAUUCUCACUUGCUACGUCUGUGUUGUGUAAGGGGUGUGACAAUUCAAUGGCACAAGUGCUUAAAUAUUUACUUAACGUCCACGAUGAUGGAUGUUUUCUUUGGUUUUAUCGCGUGAAAGAUAUAUGAUCGAAAUAAUGAGAAAAGAAAUAAAGAGAAAAACAACGUGCGUUUAAAAUUAACUUUAAAGUAUACGUUUAAAAUACACUAUCACGAUCUUAUUAUUAUUGUUAUUAUUAAUCUUUUGUAAUCAAAUUUGAUUAUGAAACGGUGAAUAAAUUAGCAGGGUGUGUUUAAAACAGUAGAAAGCUUUCGGCCUUCAUAAAAAUUAAAUCAUUAAUUGUUCAUCGUCGAUUGAUCAUCUUCGUCACUUAUCAACCCCAUCGAUUCUUACGCUUCUACGCGGCUAAGUACGAGAACCAACUUUUACCAUUGAAUUGUCAAAUUUUCUAAUUUCGAAGAUUAGGAUACAAUUACAAACAUAUUUAACAUAUAAAAGCUACUUUUGCUCAAGAAGUGUAAGAAUAAAACUCAACUUCGACUAUUGAACUUUGUCUACGUACGUUCGUACACGUACCAACGAAAUAUGUCAAAGUACCAGCAGAUAUCGCAGAUCCAAACUCAUCGAAUUACAAGAUAGCUCGUUCAAUUUCUCAAUCGAGAAGAACUCGAGGAAAGAUUCAACUAGAAGAAGAAAAUAACGGAAUGAAAGGAGCGCGGAGCUCAUUAAACGCACACUAGAAUUCAUGAACUACUACUGCAGUGGUUCGUAAACUCCUGCAACGCACACUACAACGUACAUAGUCGAAGAGAAUGGAUUUUGUCGUUCAUAGGGUCGAAAGGGUUAAUAAGAGCUUAAGGCGGUGCAGCGAAGAUGCUUUUCGGUAAGUGACCGUCCGUCAAUUCGCGAAGAAUGCGUCGCUGGCUAACGAGCAACGCUCCCAACGGUUAUCCAACAAUAAAAAUAAUUUGGCGAUGAAUGAGGGUAGACGGUGUUUAGGAGAGUGAGGCCGACGUAAGAUAUUUUUAUUGGACGUCUGCAGUCUGGAUGCACGGCCGGCCGUUAACCCGAUGCACUCAUUGCUCCGUGCCAAUCCAUAUGGAAUCCUUGCUCUCGAUUCCUCUUCAAGCGUCUUCCAUCUUCUUCGGCUACUCUGCACGCCCUCGCGCUUUUCAACGUUUACGUCCGAUCUGUGUGCCUCGUUCAACUUAGAUCGAGCGCUGUUUGCUAAUCGUCUUAUGGGUUCCUUUUAAGUUAUGGUAAAUUUAAAAGCCCAGAUAUACUGUAUAAUAUAUAAAAGUAUAUCGAAUAUCCAGAAAGGAAUAUUUGUUAUAAUUUUUUAACAGGCGAAACAAAUUAUCAUGUCGGUUUAAUUUUUUUAAUUCUCUUCACAAAGAUAUUGGAAUUGUACAAGGAUACACAGUCUAUCGAUAAUUUUACAGGAAGUGAGCUUUUUAAAAUUGCAAAAGUGGAAGAACUCGUAGCGUGCAAAGAUAUACGGUGUAUCGAAGAUAUAGUAUUCGUUAUAGUAUCCAGUGGAAUAAGUUUCUACUCACAUUCCAUUUGUUUAAUUAGGUUUAUAAAAAAUACGAAUUUCUAUAAAAAUCCACAGUCCAAUUGUCGAUAACAUUCUUCGCUAUUAUUAUAUAUCAUUGUUGCAUACUACAUGUAUAUUAUAUACAUACGUAUUUGCCAAUAAAACUGUCGUUACGAAAAUCGUUCGUAUUCACGAGGACUGUCAUCGAGCGCGUUAAUCUUCAAGCUCGACGAUCUUGAAACGCACUCAUCGAGAUUCCGUGACGAAGAUGGAGGCACGCCAGCUGUUGAGAAUUGGUCGUAGAGCAAAGUUCCUUGCUCUCAUCGACUUUCAAUGCCAAAGCAACGAAUGCGGUUCGGGAAAGGGUAGCAUACGCGAAGAAGAGGAAGAAGAUGAAGAAAAGAUGCGGUUUUACGCGAGCGUUCAAUGGUACUUCGCUAUAUGGCUGCAUAACGUUUAUGGUACUCGUUCGCCACUAUUUCUGGAGGAUCAACAUCUAGAUGAAUCACAUACGUGGCGCUUUCCUGUAUUUCCAUCUUCAGUACGUGUUAUUUCAAAAUGCUUCGACGAUGGUUCGCUUUAAACGCUUCGAGAAUGGGAAUUUAUACUUUUUUCGCCCUUCUUGUUACCCUUCCUUUAAGAAAUACAAACAGACUUGCCAUUUCUUUGGGCUUCUAUUUUUCGUAGCCCAUUUAAAACGCGCGAAUAAAAAAUAAUCGCGAUUUAUAUAUUGUUUUAUUACAAAAAAAAAGUAUUAAAAUAACAGAAUAUUUGUAAAAU